CGAUGAAGAGCGCAGCCAACUGUGUGAAUUAAUGUGAACUGCACACUGCUUUGAACAUCGACAUCUUGAACGCACAUUGCGGCCAUGGGCUAGCCCAUGGCCACGCCUGUCCGAGGGUCGGCU
rnacentral:rRNA from 1 species